rnacentral:miRNA from 1 species
AAGGGAGGAGGAGCGGAGGGGCCCU